rnacentral:tRNA from 1 species
UGAGGGGUGGUUCACGCAUGAGCUGGGGCACGUACGGCCUUUGUCCCGCUCGUUGUGGUUGAGCUCAACCCCUUCAA